rnacentral:rRNA from 1 species
CCUACGGGAGGCAGCAGUGGGGAAUAUUGCACAAUGGGGGAAACCCUGAUGCAGCGACGCCGCGUGAGUGAAGAAGUAUUUCGGUAUGUAAAGCUCUAUCAGCAGGGAAGAAAAUGACGGUACCUGAGUAAGAAGCCCCGGCUAACUACGUGCCAGCAGCCGCGGUAAUACGUAGGGGGCAAGCGUUAUCCGGAUUUACUGGGGGUAAAGGGAGAGUAGGUGGCAGAGCAAGUCUGAAGUGAAAGCCCGAGGCUCAACCCCGGGAAUGCUGUGGAAACUGCACAGCUGGAGUGCAGGAGAGGUAAGUGGAAUUCCUAGUGUAGCGGUGAAAUGCGUAGAUAUUAGGAGGAACACCAGUGGCGAAGGCGGCUUACUGGACUGUAACUGACGCUGAGGCUCGAAAGCGUGGGGAGCAAACAGGAUUAGAUACCCUAGUAGUC